rnacentral:rRNA from 1 species
GCAGUGGGGAAUUUUGGACAAUGGGCGCAAGCCUGAUCCAGCAAUGCCGCGUGCAGGAAGAAGGCCUUCGGGUUGUAAACUGCUUUUGUACGGAACGAAACGGUCCUGGUUAAUACCCGGGGCUAAUGACGGUACCGUAAGAAUAAGCACCGGCUAACUACGUGCCAGCAGCCGCGGUAAUACGUAGGGUGCGAGCGUUAAUCGGAAUUACUGGGCGUAAAGCGUGCGCAGGCGGUCUUGUAAGACAGGCGUGAAAUCCCCGGGCUCAACCUGGGAAUUGCGCUUGUGACUGCAAGGCUGGAGUGCGGCAGAGGGGGAUGGAAUUCCGCGUGUAGCAGUGAAAUGCGUAGAUAUGCGGAGGAACACCGAUGGCGAAGGCAAUCCCCUGGGCCUGCACUGACGCUCAUGCACGAAAGCGUGGGGAGCAAACAGGAUUAGAUACCCUGGUAGUCC